rnacentral:piRNA from 1 species
UAGGAAGUGUUGCAUUUAUUAUUUCCAUUU